CGGGUUGUAGCGCAGUGGCUUAGCGCGCUCGGUUCGGGACCGAGAGGUCGGGAGUUCAAAUCUCCCCAGCCCGA
rnacentral:tRNA from 1 species